rnacentral:rRNA from 1 species
CCUACGGUAGGCAGCAGUGGGGAAUAUUGGACAAUGGGCGAAAGCCUGAUCCAGCCAUGCCGCGUGUGUGAAGAAGGCCUUCGGGUUGUAACGCACUUUCAGUGGGGAAGAAAACCUUUGGGCUAAUACCCUCGAGGAAGGACAUCACCCACAGAAGAAGCACCGGCUAACUCCGUGCCAGCAGCCGCGGUAAUACGGAGGGUGCGAGCGUUAAUCGGAAUUACUGGGCGUAAAGCGCGCGUAGGCGGUCUGAUAAGCCGGUUGUGAAAGCCCCGGGCUCAACCUGGGAACGGCAUCCGGAACUGUCAGGCUAGAGUGCAGGAGAGGAAGGUAGAAUUCCCGGUGUAGCGGUGAAAUGCGUAGAGAUCGGGAGGAAUACCAGUGGCGAAGGCGGUCUUCUGGACUGACACUGACGCUGAGGUGCGAAAGCGUGGGUAGCAAACAGGAUUAGAUACCCGAGUAGUC